CUAGGACCGCCGUAAUGAUUAAUAGGGAUAGUCGGGGGCAUCAGUAUUCAAUUGUCAGAGGUGAAAUUCUUGGAUUUAUCGAAGACUAACUACUGCGAAAGCAUUUGCCAAGGAUGUUUUCAUUAAUCAGUGAACGAAAGUUAGGGGAUCGAAGACGAUUAUCUGGUCCUCAAUAGUGAAAGCUAGUUACCUCUUCCAGGUAACAACACCAUCAAAUUGCGGGGACCUCCUAAAGAUCAUGCUACACCCCUUUGCUGGAAACGGCCUAGGCUUGUUAAAAUCGUAUGAUAUGAGCUGGUAAUGCCGGCGAAAUGGAUCAUCCGCAGCCAUGUCCUAACAGCGUAUGACCGCUCACGGGCAAGGUCCACAGACUAGACGUUGGUGGAGAGGUCGCCCUAGGCACCUCUUUAAGAUAUAGUCGAUCCUGGGCCGAAAGCCCCAGUGAGUAAACGCAGAUACCGUCGUAGUCUUAACCAUAAACUAUGCCGACUAGGGAUCGGCCGAUGUUAUCUUUUUGACUCGCUCGGCACCUUACGAGAAAUCACAGUCUUUGGGUUCUGGGGGGAGUAUGGUCGCAAGGCUGAAACUUA
rnacentral:rRNA from 1 species